ensembl:lncRNA
AUGGAAACCAGACAGCUGUAUGGCAAUUUAUAUUCAGAUACACAUUUGAGACUCACCUUUAAUAUAGUGCCCUUAGAGGGUACUGCAUUACUGCAUUUGAGGUCAGCAGGAGGAGAGGAUGCUGGUCUAAUUAGCAGCAGAGGAAUCUUCUGUCGGCCCAACACCUGUCACCACAGGCUCAACACUGCCCUCUGCUUUCCGGAAGAGGAAGACAAUCAAGGUGUCUACACCAAGUGAAUGUGAAGCAUUCCUUGAUGCCAUUUUAAUUGACGGAUUCCACCAAGAAUCCUGUUUAUGGUCAACAACUGAUUGCUGAUCCAAACCACUCUGUAGCUGUCCGCUGGAAUAAAAACCCGGAAAAAGCUACGGAACUGAAAUCCCAGACAUCAUGACCAUGUUUCCUCCCGGAUGUCCACGAUGACAGUCGUCGGCCCCUUCAACGGAUCUUACGGACAAACUCGGCAAACCACACGAGCAGGCCACACAGUCAUUCUGCAUUCAAAACUUACACGGUUCCUCUGUUUCAUUGUGCUGAACUUUAUUCUGUGGUAGAUGGUGGCAGCUUUAACAAUACAGCAACAAAAACACUGACUUAAUAUACACUCAGACUCGAACGUCUAUGCUCAAAAAUUCUGCUCUACACUUUAAUUGCUGGGUCCAAAUAUAUUUCUAACCUGGUUUCUAACCAAACUUGUAGAAAAGUUACAGAGCAACGAUCAACUGAAUCUUCAGACACAUUUGUGAUUUUAAUCAAUGAAAUACAUCCAGCACUACCUCAUAUUGGAGGCCUGUGCUGGUCUAAAAUACAUUUGGAAAAGUUAAAAACUUCCAUCACUCUGUGGCUCUAAACCCACGCAAGGCUCUGCAAUGGCAUUUGCCAGUCAGCCAGGUACAAUUUCCCACGCUAUUACCCCUCUUCAUCAACAGGAAGAGUGGCCUUUGGCUUUGCCUGAACAGCCUUCCUGAAUCCUCGCUCUCCUGCGGCAGCGUGUGUCGUUUUAUGUCUAGCUUAAGCCUGAGCAGUUAUGCCGCCGUAAAUUUAGCCAUUUCAGACAUUCAGUCACUUCUCUCAGCUAAUAUAGAGCAGCAGUCACCCGCCAGUGCUUUUACAGCCUCUGUGCCGUGUGUGUGGGUGCUGAUCAUGUAUUGUAAUAGCAGAAUAAAGAUGUAAAAAGCAGAGGGAAUGGAUGGUAGAUGGAGAACAUGAAUGUGCUGGGACCAGGGCAAUGCUUGGAAUGAGUCCAAUGUAACUUUCUCACAAACGGAGGCCAGACACCAUUACCAGGCGUGUGAAAAAUAAUGAAACCGUAACAUAGGAAGCACAGCUUUGCUCUGCAUGCCUGUGAUCAAAGCAGCAAACUCAUAGAAUUAGGUUAUGAAAGCAGUUAAAUUCAAAAACUGAUGUGAUUACCUUAAAGGGAUAUUUCACCCAAAAAUGAAAAUUAGUCAUUAAUUACUCACCCUUAUGUCUUAAUAUAUAUAUUGAAAUAGAAAACAUAAAUUGUAAUAUUUCACAGUAUUGCUGUUUUACUGUAUUUUUAAUCGAAUAAAUGCAACUUUGGUGAGCAUAAGAUACUUUUUUUAAAAAACUUUAUAAAAUCUUACCGACCCUGUAAAAUAUGCAGCAGCUUUUCUACAUUUGUAAUCUGGGAGUCCAGUCUGCAUGUGUGUGGUGUGCCCAGUGACAACCUAAACCUGGUUUUUGGAUGACCGUUGACCUUCACCUCUCUACCAACCCUGGCUCUUAAACAUGGCGUGACACUGCUCUUUAAGCUACCACCCAGGAACCAGCGCUGCCUGCAGCUCAACCUGGCUGAUGGAUCUGAGUGCAGCCGCCAACCUCCAAUCACCCCAGACACGAGCCCCAGGACCCUACACCACCCCAAGGUACAGCUCUGUCACGCACAUACCAAACAUUUAAAGUGACAUGCAAAGGAAAAGAAGAAGAAGUCUGUGAAAUUCAAAUGGUAAAAUGUUAGUGUGCUCAAUCUAGGCAGCAGAUCAGACCUGAUGC